CCAAUCGAACUCGGAGAUAGCUGGUUCUCCCCGAAAUAGCUUUAGGGCUAGCGUUGUGUUAGUUUACCGGAGGUAGAGCACUGAAUUGGCUAAGGGGCGAUGAGCUUACUGAACCUUAUCAAACUUCGAAUGCCGGAUAAAUGGUGCACAGCAGUCAGACAGUGUGAGAUAAGUUUCAUUGUCAAGAGGGAAACAGCCCAGACCCACAGCUAAGGUCCCAAAUGAACGCUAAGUGGAAAACGAUGUGGGGUUGCAAAAACAACCAGGAUGUUGGCUUAGAGGCAGCCACUCAUUAAAAGAGUGCGUAAUAGCUCACUGGUCGAGUGACCCUGCGCGGAAAAUAUAACGGGGCUAAGCGUCCAACCGAAGCUUGGGAUGUCUAAGGACAUGGUAGGGGAGCGUCGUGUAUAGGGAGAAGCAUGAGCGAGAGCACAUGUGGACAGUACACGAGUGAGAAUGCCGGAAUGAGUAGCGAGAAUUAUGUGGGAAUCAUAAUGGCCGAAAAUCUAAGGUUUCUUGGGGAAGGUUCGUCCGCCCAAGGUAAGCCGGGAGCUAAGGCGAGGCCGAAAGGCGUAGUCGAUGCACAUACGGUUGAAAUUCCGUAGCCGCCGAAAUUGUUAAGCACAGGGACACAUAGAGAUAUCCGAACCCGGGCGUUGGUUGACCCGGGCGCAAGGGACCGAACAUCAGUAGGGAAGUCGGAGAUGCUCUGUGGCGAGAAAAGCUGUGUGUAUUGAUUAGGCGCCCGUACCGCAAACCGACACAGGUAGAUGAGGAGAGAAUCCUAAGGCCAACGGGAGAAGGGUUGUUAAGGAACUCGGCAAAUUGACCCCGUAACUUCGGGAGAAGGGGUGCUCCAGAGAUGGAGCCGCAGAGAAUCGGCCCAAGCAACUGUUUACCAAAAACACAGGUUUGUGCUAAAUCGAAAGAUGACGUAUACGAGCUGACGCCUGCCCGGUGCUGGAAGGUUAAGAGGAGAUGUGCAAGCAUUGAAUCGAAGCCCCAGUGAACGGCGGCCGUAACUAUAACGGUCCUAAGGUAGCGAAAUUCCUUGUCAGGUAAGUUCUGACCCGCACGAAUGGCGUAAUGAUUUGGGCACUGUCUCAACAGCCCGCCCGGCGAAAUUGUAGUACUGGUGAAGAUGCCAGUUACCCGCAACUAGACGGAAAGACCCCAUGGAGCUUUACUGUAGCCUAAUACUGAAGAUCGGUAAUGCAUGUACAGGAUAGGUGGGAGCCAGCGAAACCCGGGCGUCAGCUCGGAUGGAGGCAACCUUGGAAUACCACCCUUGUAUUGCUGGUUUUCUAACCUGCGGCCAUGAAUCUGGUCGGGGGACACUGUUAGGUGGGCAGUUUGACUGGGGCGGUCGCCUCCAAAAGCGUAACGGAGGCGCUCAAAGGUUGGCUCAGCACGGACGGAAAUCGUGCAUAGAGUGCAAACGCAUAAGCCAACUUGACUGCGAGACCGACGGGUCGAGCAGGUACGAAAGUAGGAGUUAGUGAUCCGGUGGUAUGUGAGUGGAAAUGCCAUCGCUCAACGGAUAAAA
rnacentral:rRNA from 1 species